rnacentral:rRNA from 1 species
UCAGAUUGAACGCUGGCGGCGUGCUUAACACAUGCAAGUCGUGCGAGAAAGGUCCUUCGGGGACUGAGUAGAGCGGCGCACGGGUGAGUAACGCGUGGGUGACCUACCCAGGAGACCGGGAUAACAGUGGGAAACUGCUGCUAAUACCGGGUACGCUUCAUAUUUCACGUAUGGGGGGAAAGGCGGCCUCUGCUUGCAAGCUGCCACUCUUGGAUGGGCCCGCGUCUCAUUAGCUUGUUGGUAGGGUAACGGCCUACCAAGGCGACGAUGAGUAGCUGGUCUGAGAGGAUGAUCAGCCACACUGGGACUGGAACACGGCCCAGACUCCUACGGGAGGCAGCAGUGGGGAAUAUUGCGCAAUGGGCGAAAGCCUGACGCAGCGACGCCGCGUGAGGGAAGAAGGCCUUCGGGUCGUAAACCUCUGUCAGGAGGGAAGAAACCAUGGGAGUCGAAUAGGCUCUCGUGCUGACGGUACCUCCGGAGGAAGCACCGGCUAACUCCGUGCCAGCAGCGGC